CCACUUUCUUCCUUCUCCUCUUGUGUUGGACUGUGUGUCCCUACAAAGUCAAAGAGGUAGAAGAAGAAGAUGUCAACGAAGAAGAUGAGAACUUCCUAGUCCAGAAUAUCCUCAGUCUCCCCGUCUGGAGGCUCGAGCCACGCAGC
rnacentral:lncRNA from 1 species